AACACUAUUUUCUUAGUCUGUCUUAUUAUGUUUAUAAUUAACAAAAUGUUACAACUUUAUUGUGAUAUUGAUGUUAACUGGCAGUAAGCUUGUGAAUAUUAAUAAUCUAAUGAGGAAGGAAAUGUAGUCGUUUAACAGCCUGAUAUCUAUCUUCUGCUUACUGACCACAGAGGAAGGCUUCUUUAAAGACAGCGUCCUUCCUCAUUGUAAGUAGAAUUGUUUAUUGAUGUGACUGAUACUGUAUAUCUCCUGUGUACAUUAUUUUAUCUCCUGACAUGUUUUAUUGUCUCUGAAGCCACACAGAGAGAUGAGAGGAGCAGCUAUGAGUUUAACUGCAGCAGCGAGUGGAUUUGUCGUCUCCCUUCUCUCUGUGUCAGGUGCUGAAUAUCUAAACUUACAUUCAUUGCAUUAAAAGGAAGAAUCUGUGAAAAUGUGGGUCUUGUAAAAGUAGGCUGAAGGUCACAUGUGGAAAUAAGUGGAUCAGAAUUGUGUGAAAGGCAAACUAGAAACAUUGGUUUUAUUUACAAUUGUGGAAACUCCCCAGAUUAAUACAUUUUUAUAUAGUUGUUGUUUGUGUAAAUUUUAAUGGAUAUUAGGACUCUCGUUUUUAACUUCUUUUGCUCUUUCCUUUGCAUAAAUUAUCUGUUUGCUAAGCACUUUUACAUGCUAUAAAUUGAUAAUAUUGUGGGUUUCAUUGGUGACUUUUUUCCUGUCACUCUUUAAAAACCUAUAGUCCUGUAGGAGGAAUUGUUCCAUCAUUACCACAGCUGUAGUUGCUUCAGUCUUUUCUGUCCUGGUUGCAAUCAUCUGUAAGAAUUCACUAUUCAGAUGAAAAACCCACUCAUGUAAAAUAUGUCUGUGCAGUUUCUACCUGAACAGCCAGAGGAGCAGGAUAACCUUCAAUAUGCCAGCAUUCACUUCACCAACAACCAGGCAGAUCCUCUCUACUCCAACAUCAGACCAGCUCGCUCCCUCAGACACACAGAGCAACAAGAUUUCAUGGAGUACGCUGUUGUCACAUUUAAGAGUAAUACUGCCCCGAGAUCCAGAGGUCAGGAACCUGGAGAGGAUCCAUCUGCAUUGUACAGCACAGUCAACGACCAAAACAUAUAUUGCAUUUAUGAUAAUUCUGUUUCUUUUUUUAGUUCUUUCUUUUAGUUAAUAUUUUUCUUGGGAUAUGCCUCUCCAAUAAUUUACAAAUGAAUUAUAUGCCCUAGAGAAAAUUACUUUGUUUUUAGUAUAUGUAAAGUAUUUGACUGCAUUCACCUGUAAAUAUAAUUUGUCUGACUUUUUGCAACAUUUAGUCUUUUCAUGUAACUUUUAUUUUGAAAAAUAGGUCUUAUACAGUCAAUAAGACUGCAUCAUGUUACUUUUUUCCACACUGAUGCAGCACAACAAUUUGAACCCAUGGUGUGCAUCCAAGCGAUGCAUCAAACUGUUUCCUUCUGUUCCUGUUUAGUUUAGCAUCACUGACAGACCCUAAACUAUGACCACAUUUACGAUAAGAUUUCCUUAGAUAGUCUUUGUUGUUUGUUGGAUGUUCUGAAGUGCCUCAAAACUAGUUUGUUACACUCUCUUAAAUAGAUAGACAGAAAGUUCAUAGUUUGCAAAAACAACAAAGCAAGUUACUUUUUAGUGUGAACUUAAGUCUACUUGUAUAUUUGGUUCAUUAUUCAUGUAAAUGAUGUAAAGAGGAAGGAAGUUGGGAGGAUUUUACAGAGUAACGUUGUCUUAUCAAGAUAACUUCCUUUCAUGUUAGGUAGAAGUGUUUUUGAUGUGAAUGAUUUACUUCUGUGGACAUUAUUUAGCUGCAGACAUCUUUUAAUGUCUCUGAAGUCACACAGCGAGACGCGAGGAGCAGAUAUGAGGUUAACAGCAGCAGCGAGAGGAUUUGUCGUCCUUCUCCUGACUGUACCAGUGGUACAGAGUCAGAAUGGCUGGGGAGUGACUUACACUCCAACUCAGAUCUGUGCCUUAAAAGGAUCAACAGUGGACAUAA